UACGUAGGGUGCAAGCGUUAAUCGGAAUUACUGGGCGUAAAGCGUGCGCAGGCGGUUUUGUAAGUCUGACGUGAAAUCCCCGGGCUCAACCUGGGAAUUGCGUUGGAGACUGCAAGGCUAGAAUCUGGCAGAGGGGGGUAGAAUUCCACGUGUAGCAGUGAAAUGCGUAGAGAUGUGGAGGAACACCGAUGGCGAAGGCAGCCCCCUGGGUCAAGAUUGACGCUCAUGCACGAAAGGCGUGGGGAGCAAACAGGAUUAACGAA
rnacentral:rRNA from 1 species